rnacentral:rRNA from 1 species
CCUACGCGAGGCAGCAGUGGGGGAUAUUGGACAAUGGGCGGAAGCCUGAUCCAGCGACGCCGCGUGAGUGAAGAAGUAUCUCGGUAUGUAAAGCUCUAUCAGCAGGGAAGAAGAAAUGCCGGGAUCUGCGUAAGUGUCUCUGGCUUACUACGUGCCAGCAGCCGCGGUAAUACGGAGGGGGCAAGCGAUAUCCGGAAUGACUGGGUGUAAAGGGUGCGUAGGCGGUGAUGUAAGUCUGGUGUGAAAGGCGGGGGCCCAACCCCCGGACUGCUAUGGACACUAGGAGACUGGAGUGCAGGAGAGGUAGGCGGAAUGCGUGGUGGAGCGGUGAAAUGCGUAGAUAUUAGGAGGAACCCCAGUGGCGAAGGCGGCUCACUGGACUGUAACUGACGUUGAGGCUCGAAAGCGUGGGGAGCAAACAGGAUUAGAUACCCGGGUAGUC